UGGGGCAGUUCUGGGGGCAGAU
rnacentral:miRNA from 1 species